rnacentral:rRNA from 1 species
GUGGGGAAUAUUGCACAAUGGGCGAAAGCCUGAUGCAGCAACGCCGCGUGAGGGACGACGGCCUUCGGGUUGUAAACCUCUUUUAGCAGGAAAGAAGCGAAAGUGACGGUACCUGCAGAAAAAGCGCCGGCUAACUACGUGCCAGCAGCCGCGGUAAUACGUAGGGCGCAAGCGUUAUCCGGAAUUAUUGGGCGUAAAGAGCUCGUAGGCGGUCUGUCGCGUCUGCUGUGAAAACCCGAGGCUCAACCUCGGGCCUGCAGUGGGUACGGGCAGACUAGAGUGCGGUAGGGGAGAUUGGAAUUCCUGGUGUAGCGGUGGGAUGCGCAGAUAUCAGGAGGAACACCGAUGGCGAAGGCAGAUCUCUGGGCCGUAACUGACGCUGAGGAGCGAAAGGGUGGGGAACAAACAGGCUUAGAAACCCCGGUAGUCC